GAGGAAGAUCUCUUCGUCUCCCUCUGCACAUUCGCUCUUCUUCUCCAUCAAUUCCUCUCUCUCGGCGUUUUCGCCAUUGAUGUUGUAGUUGUAAGGUGGUAUAAUCUUGUAUCAGGUAUGCCUUGGUUAUUACACUAUUACAGUUUUUCAGAUGGGUGCUAUAACAGCAUUAAAAGCCCUAAUGGUUUAUCCCACUUAAGGUCACUAAGGUUCCUUUGUUCCAAGCGCGUAAAUGUGCCCAGUGAGCUACUUGAGUAUCUUCUUCCAGCUGUCCCCUUCUUGAACAAUUAUGCGCGGUGACUGUAAGUUGUUUAGUGAAUCUCAAUCAGUGGUUCAUCACUCCAGCUGAAGCGCUAGCAGAUAUCAUCCUGUUUCCGUUUGCAAUACUCGGAAGUUUCUGCCUUGAACCUGGUAUCGUUCAAAAAUUAAUGGUAAAAGAAUAUCAUUGCAUAUCGCGAACUCUUCCCAGCUUGUCGAGCUAUAUAUGAUUGGUGCGUGAUGUAGCGGACUUGCAAUUCUUGCUGUUUUUGGGUUAUUUUUCUCAGCUGGAGACAAUUACCUUAAGCUUUGAGCAUUGCGAGGAAAAUAUGGUGCUUACACAAUUGCCUGAAUUAAUCAAGCUUAUGCAAUUAUGUUUUAAAGUUUACACCAAGAAUGCUGACACUCCCCUUGGUUUUACUUCGUUGAAAAGGGAGCACCUAUUUUGCAAAGAUUUACAUUGGAGAACACAAGCAUACACAAUGUUUCUUUCUACAGAUGCCGGUUGAUACACAAUGUUUCUGAUUAAUCAUUUGGGUUAUCUGUGAGGUUCAUGAAGGUCUGGGUCAUGUUGAGAUUGAUUUUAUUCAGAAUCAUAUGGUUUGAGGUCAACUCUUUUAUCAUUUGUGGUAGUAUUGAAACUCUAUAUGAAAUCUGGGUCCUUAAUAAAAGGGUUCAACCAAUUA